AGAGAAGAUCUUCUCU
rnacentral:misc_RNA from 1 species